rnacentral:rRNA from 1 species
GAGUUUGAUCCUGGCUCANGAUGAACGCUAGCGGAAGGCUUAAUACAUGCNAGUCGAGCGGUAGAUAAGACUUCGGUUUUAUUGAGAGCGGCGCACGGGUGAGUAACGCGUACAUGACCUACCCACAAGGACGGGAUAGCCCUGGGAAACUAGGAUUAAUACCGUAUGUGAUUAAAAGUGUUAGAGGUUUUUAAUUAAAGCUCCGGUGCUUGUGGAUGGAUGUGCGUCUGAUUAGCUAGUUGGUAAGGUAACGGCUUACCAAGGCGACGAUCAGUAGGGGGCGUGAGAGCGUGAUCCCCCACACGGGUACUGAGACACGGACCCGACUCCUACGGGAGGCAGCAGUAAGGAAUAUUGGACAAUGGGGGCAACCCUGAUCCAGCCAUUCCGCGUGCAGGAUGACUGCCCUAUGGGUUGUAAACUGCUUUUAGAUGGGAAGAAAGUGUGGCAUUUAUGCCAUUUUGACGGUACCAUCAGAAUAAGCACCGGCUAACUCCGUGCCAGCAGCCGCGGUAAUACGGAGGGUGCGAGCGUUAUCCGGAAUUACUGGGUUUAAAGGGUGCGUAGGCGGAUCUUUAAGUCUGAGGUGAAAGUCUGUGGCUUAACCAUAGAAUUGCCUUGGAUACUGAGGAUCUUGAAUUGGGUUGAGGAUGGCGGAAUGUGGCAUGUAGCGGUGAAAUGCAUAGAUAUGCCAUAGAACACCGAUUGCGAAGGCAGCCAUCUGGGCCUUGAUUGACGCUGAGGCACGAAAGCGUGGGGAGCGAACAG